UAUAGACCAACACAUCCUAUUCAAAAUAAAAAUCAUCCAACAGUCUCAUCGUACUUCUUUACUCGUCUUCUUUUAUCUUUACUACCAUUUUACCACCACUACAACAUUCGUAGCGAUUCUGACGUGCAAAUCGAUCGUCAAAUUUGAGUAUAGGGGCGAAAGACUAAUCGAACCAUCUAGUAGCUGGUUCCUGCCGAAGUUUCCCUCAGGAUAGCAGAAACUCACAAAGCAGUUUUAUGGGGUAAAGCGAAUGAUUAGAGGCCUUGGGGGCGAAAUGCCCUUAACCUAUUCUCAAACUUUAAAUAUGUAAGACGCCCUUCUUUCUUAGCUGAAGUUGGGCCUUUGAAUGCAGAGUUUCUAGUGGGCCAUUAGAGGAACUUAUGUCCCACUAGUGAUCCAACCUAUAUCUCCCACCUAACAAAGAGAGAAUCAUAUCUCCUAUAAACACACUUGUACACAAUCAUCGUAUUCCCUAACAAAUGGAUAACACAUUAGUAUAAAUAGAUCUUCUAUUUCACA
rnacentral:ncRNA from 1 species